AUGAUUUCAACAAGGUUGUUUAUUCUUCAUUCAACGUGUGCGGGAUUCAGGAGAAUCAUUUGCAUUCUUACAAGAAGGUGCCACCCAGGGCUACCCUUCCCCGUAUUCUCUAGGCGUGGCAUAUUCAUGAAAGGAAGGCAUCUCUUGGAAGUGACAGGAGAUAACAUUCCUGAAGAGUCUACUGACAGGUGCAACCUCAAAGUUCAUCUGAUUCCUGAAAAUAAUUCUUUGCUAGAAGCCAUUGAUGAAAAUGUUUCCACUGGUCAUCUGGAGUCAGAGGUGAUUCUGGGUGGUGGGUCUGAGGUCGGAGGCAUCUAAACUUUUUUUUUUUUUGCUUUUAGGUAUUUAGACAAUACGUUGUUACUUGAUUCAGGUUGGAGAAGUCAGGCCUCCUGAGAAGAUAAAGCCCAGGACACUUGGC
rnacentral:lncRNA from 1 species